UUUUACUGUAUCUCAAGACCACUGAUUAACCAAGAUGAUAUAUGGACAGACAGACGCACUACACUUCCAAACCAAAAGUGGAGAAGAGCAAUUGAUCUGCGUCAGUGCACACCACCUGAAAAGAAACACAGUUAACAUAUAUGGGAGGAUACAAGGCUGAUUGACAGGUGCAUGUGGCCUCGUAAGGGAGUUUCAAAAAUGGAUUGCCACGGAUCACGGUUAUAAUUUAGUUUUAGUUUACAAGUAUCAUGCAGAUUUUUUUAUUCCAAAUUGAAAGAAAAUUGUGAAGUAUAUUCCAUGUAGUCUCUCUGUUGAUAUAAGUGCAUGAAAACCUUAUGUAUAAUAUUUUUCAAAAAGUUUUUUUUUUCAUUUCAUAGAUGAUGGUGUAUAGCAGGGCAUAUUGCAGGACACUAUCUGUAGUUUUGCUACUAAAUUUUAUAAAGGAUGUAAUGUACAUUUGCAUUGACAUCUGACUCUUAUUAUAGGACUCAGCAGGUCUAGAGAAUGUGUGUUUAUUCUUAUAUCAGCAAUCCCCUCCCAUUUGGCAGUUAUUAUAGUUAAAUAUACAUGCACACUACCAGACUCAAAUAUUUAGCCACAUAGUUUAUUACAGAUCACAGCCAAUACAUAAGAAGAAUUAUUACUUUUGCACAGGUUGUUUGUAAUCAGCUCAUUGAAAAUGUGUAUUGUUUCAGAGAUAAACAAAUAAGCAUGAUUGGA